rnacentral:lncRNA from 1 species
AUUGUAAUGAUCUUGUUUGUUUGGUUUUCCUUUAGUUUAUGGUGGACAGAGAACGUUGGAUCUGUUGGAGAAAUUAACAAGUGAGGCUCCAUCAAAAAAACACCAGGUGCCAAUGAAAUCCUAACGACAUAUGAUUUUAGAAGCUUAUACCUGUCAGUCAAAUUGGAAGCAACGUGCCUAGCUUUUCCUUCUCAAGCAUGUACCAAACUCACAUAAUGCAGCACCAGUACUGAGGGAUAUAGCACACAUGAUGUGUUAUGACUCCUACUUCUUCUUUAGAGGGUGCUUUUAUAAACAGAGGAAAGGAGUCUCCAUUGGAAGCCCAAUGGUGGGAGUGCUAACAGAAAUCCUAAUUAGAGAGAUAGAAGAAGACAUAAUUAAAAGCUUACAACCUAGUAUAAUAGAAUACAUGAGAGAUGUCGACAAUAUAUUUGUCAUAUGGAAGAAAAAUGCGAAAACAGAGAUUCUAACACAACAUUUAACCAAGGAGCAGUUUGGCCUACAACUUAAA